UACAGAGGGUGCAAGCGUUAAUCGGAAUUACUGGGCGUAAAGGGUGCGUAGGUGGUUUGAUAAGUUGGGUGUGAAAUUCCUGGGCUUAACCUAGGAACUGCGCUCAAUACUGUUGAGCUAGAGUACUGUAGAGGAAGGUGGAAUUUCCAGUGUAGCGGUGAAAUGCGUAGAUAUUGGAAGGAACAUCAGUGGCGAAGGCGACUUUCUGGACAGAUACUGACACUGAGGCACGAAAGCGUGGGGAGCAAACAGG
rnacentral:rRNA from 1 species